AUGGCCAUGCUCCUGGGGGCAUCAGUGCUGAUUCUGUGGCUUCAGCCAGACUGGGUAAACAGUCAACAGAAGAAUGAUGACCAGCAAGUUAAGCAAAAUUCACCAUCCCUGAGCGUCCAGGAAGGAAGAAUUUCUAUUCUGAACUGUGACUAUACUAACAGCAUGUUUGAUUAUUUCCUAUGGUACAAAAAAUACCCUGCUGAAGGUCCUACAUUCCUGAUAUCUAUAAGUUCCAUUAAGGAUAAAAAUGAAGAUGGAAGAUUCACUGUUUUCUUAAACAAAAGUGCCAAGCACCUCUCUCUGCACAUUGUGCCCUCCCAGCCUGGAGACUCUGCAGUGUACUUCUGUGCAGCAAGCG